rnacentral:piRNA from 1 species
GACAGACAGUAAACGGAGGACGCGCU